rnacentral:lncRNA from 1 species
UAAAACAUUCAAUCAAUUCACAACCUCUGGAUCAACUCAUUGAUCAAUCGACCUAGUCGAUUCAUAUGUCAGUUGGACCAUCUUUGGGUCACUUCACUUCCCAUCAUCACACCCCCAGCAGUACACUUAGUCACAGAGCUUCAUCAAUGCUCUCGGGCAUUACUUCUGCCAAGGUGACGUGUAUAAUGGACAGCACUCGUGUGUUCUUUAAGGCGCCGUUUUCACCAGUGAUACUCUCCAUCACCGAACCACGUAUGUCCAUACUGCUGCAUAUAAUAGACAGCACUCGUGCGUUCUUUAAGGCGCCGUUUUCACCAGUGAUAUCCUUUAAUCACCGAACCACGUAUGUCUCAUUAC